CAUUGCAACCAUGGUCAAUGGUCGCUCUAUAGAGCGAGCCACUGUGCCUGCUUGCUUACGUGCUACUUUAGUGACGCUGACACUCUCACUGUACCUCUGUUCUUUUUGGAUGCGCACGUUCGACGGUCAAGUCCUGCUGUCUGAUUUUUUCAUUUUUUACUUUUCAGAUAACCAUUCAAAAUGGUCAACGGACGCAUCCCGUCCGUGUACAGUAAAACGUACGUGACGCCUCGUCGUCCGUAUGAGAAGGCUCGUUUGGACCAGGAGUUGAAGAUCAUCGGAGAGUAUGGUCUGAGGAACAAGCGUGAAGUAUGGCGUGUGAAAUACACAUUGGCCAAGAUCCGUAAAGCCGCUCGUGAAUUGUUGACUCUUGAAGAGAAAGACCAAAAACGACUUUUCGAAGGUAACGCUUUGUUGCGUAGAUUGGUCCGCAUUGGUGUUUUAGAUGAAGGCCGCAUGAAGCUCGAUUACGUUUUGGGUUUGAAAAUUGAAGAUUUCUUGGAACGCAGACUGCAAACCCAGGUUUUCAAAUUGGGAUUGGCCAAAUCCAUUCAUCAUGCACGAGUUUUGAUCCGUCAAAGACACAUUCGAUGAACAGUCAACUGCCUCUCAAUGUUGGCUAAGAGUUCAAUUUUAUUUUUAACAGGCCACUUAAAAUGUUCAUUAUUUAUAGUGUCAUUUUAACGUCUGUAAAAACAACCAUUUAAUUGUGUGGUUUAUUACUGGUCCCUUUGAUAAAUCCAUGUUACUGAGACCAAAAAUUGUGCGUAAACAAGUAGUAAAUGUACCAUCAUUCAUUGUUCGUCUGGACUCCCAGAAACACAUUGACUUCUCCCUGAAAUCACCAUUCGGUGGUGGCCGUCCAGGACGUGUUAAGAGGAAGAAUUUGAGGAAGGCUAAGACUGCCAAAGACGAUGGCAAUGCUGCUGAAGAAGAAGAAGA